rnacentral:lncRNA from 1 species
UCGGGGUUGGGGAUUUAGCUCAGUGGUAGAGCGCUUGCCUAGGAAGCGCAAGGCCCUGGGUUCGGUCCCCAGCUCCGAAAAAAAGGACCAAAAAAAAAAAAUAAAUAAAGGGGUGUACUUCUAGGAGGAGCAAUAAUUACCCAGAGACCAAGAUUAAAAACACAGUGUAUUUUCACAUUCAGAUUUUCAGCUUCCUGCUAAUUAGUGCCACAGUCAUAGUGUCCAAUGGAGAAAUUGUGCUCACUCAGUCUCCAACAACCAUGGCUACAUCUCCUGGGAAGAAGGUCACCAUCACCUGCCGUGCGAGCUCCAGUGUAAGCUACAUGCACUGGUACCUCCAUGGAGGCUGAAGAUGCUGCUACUUAUUACUGCCAGCAGUGGGAUAGUAUCCCACUCACACAGUGAUACAGACUAGAACAAGAACCCUUUAUCUCCCCAGGGACCAGCU